UACGUAGGGUGCAAGCGUUGUCCGGAAUUAUUGGGCGUAAAGAGCUCGUAGGCGGUGUGUCACGUCGGCCGUGAAAACCUGGGGCUUAACUCUGGGCGUGCGGUCGAUACGGGCAUCACUAGAGUUCGGCAGGGGAGACUGGAAUUCCUGGUGUAGCGGUGAAAUGCGCAGAUAUCAGGAGGAACACCGGUGGCGAAGGCGGGUCUCUGGGCCGAUACUGACGCUGAGGAGCGAAAGCAUGGGGAGCAAACAGG
rnacentral:rRNA from 1 species